rnacentral:rRNA from 1 species
UAACACGUGGUCAACCUUCCCGAUAGUGGGGGAUAACUAGCCGAAAGGUUAGCUAAUACCGCAUACAAUCUUCGAGUGGCAUCACAUGAAGAUAAAAGGAGCAAUCCGCUUUCGGACGGGACCGCGUCCCAUUAGCUAGAUGGUGGGGUAAUGGCCUACCAUGGCGACGAUGGGUAGCUGGUUUGAGAGAGCGACCAGCCACACUGGGACUGAGAAACGGCCCAG